rnacentral:rRNA from 1 species
GGCGUAGGCGUAGAUGUAAGCCAGACGUGAAAGCCCGGGGCUCAACCCCGGAAUAGCAUUUGGAACUACAUUUCUUGAGGAUAGGCGGAGAAAACGGAAUUCUGCAUGUAGCGGUGAAAUGCGUAGAUAUGCAGAAGAACACCGGUGGCGAAGGCGGUUUUCUAGCUUAUUCCUGACGCUGAGGCCCGAAAGCUAGGGGAGCGAACA